CAGAUUCGUGGUCCGCCUCAAUCGAUAAACUAAUGCUAUGGAGAGGGAGUUGGACAAAAUACGAUUCUAAAGUAUCGAACCCGCUCUUGCGUAUACACUACGAUCAACUUUUAGUUACAGCUGAAACAAAGAUAUUAGAAUCAUUUAACAUGCAUAAUAAAAUAAAAGGGAUUUAUAAAGAAGAUAUACUGAUCUUAAUUAUUAGCCAUUCUAGUAAAGAAAUAAGGAAAAUAAAGUUUCAAAUAAAAUAUGACGCGCCACAAUGCCUUCAGAGAUUAAGUAAACAUUUUCCUGUGAUACACUACAAUCAUCAGGUGAAUCACAAUAUCGAUGUUAAAUACCGAAACGUUGAUGAAGUCCUAAAAUUAGCAUUAGAAAAUAAGGAGAAAACAAAUACUUCCAAUUUGCCGUCAACGGCAACCUUGAGCAAUUUCGUAAAAUUGUGUUUGUUGGAUCCAACGUUCCCGCAAUUAGUUUUAGAAACAGAAAAAGUACUAAACGGUGAACUUUUCAA